GCCAGCUUCAUGUCUUAGGGAAAGGUGACCCCUCGCCAUUAAGAGCCCCUCGGAGGGGCUCCUGGCACUGGGGCCUCGGCAGCUGAGGCCCACAUUGGGGGUGGGGCUCAAUCAGGCCGCGGGGUUUUGAAACUGUCUGACUUCUUCUUGCCAAGGAUGGUGCUACCCUCACCCCUUCCUUUCCCUGUCUUCCUCGCCAGAAUAUCUUGAGCAUCUCCAAUAACAACUACUACCCCAUCGCUGUGACCCAGCUGACCAUUGAGGUUCUGCACCUGUCCCUCGUGGUGGGGCAGGUCUCCCACAGCCUUCUCCUCCACAUCGGCCCUUUGGCCAGUGAGCAGGUGUUUUAUACAGUAGCCAACAGGAUAUGGGAUGAAAACACAUACAAGAUCUGUACCUGGCUGAAAAUCAAAGUCCACCACGUGCUCCUGCACAUCCAGUAAGUAGGGCCUGGAGCCCUGGUACCGGCCCUCUCCCACU